UAGUCCACGCUGUAAACGCUGUCGACUAGCCGUGGGGCUCAUUUAAGGGUUUCGUGGCGCAGCUAACGCGAUAAGUCGACCGCCUGGGGAGUACGGCCGCAAGGUUAAAACUCAAAGGAAUUGGCGGGGCCCGCACAAGCGGUGGAGCAUGUGGUUUAAUUCGAUGCAACGCGAAGAACCUUACCAGCCCUUGACAUCCUCGGGACUUGGCAGAGAUGCCUUGGUGCCUUCGGGAGCCGAGAGACAGGUGCUGCAUGGCUGUCGUCAGCUCGUGUCGUGAGAUGUUGGGUUAAGUCCCGUAACGAGCGCAACCCUUGUCCUUAGUUGCCAGCACUUCGGGUGGAACUCUAAGGAGACUGCCGGUGAUAAACCGGNGGAAGGUGGGGAUGACGUCAAGUCAUCAUGGGCCCUUAUGGGGCUGGGGCUACACACGUGCUACAAUGGGUCGGUACA
rnacentral:rRNA from 1 species